UACGGGGGGGGCUAGCGUUGUUCGGAAUUACUGGGCGUAAAGCGCGCGUAGGCGGCUUUGCAAGUCGGGUGUGAAAUCCCCAGGCUUAACCUGGGAACUGCAUUCGAGACUGCAUUGCUAGAGUAUGGGAGAGGGAAGUGGAAUUUCCGGUGUAGCGGUGAAAUGCGUAGAUAUCGGAAGGAACAUCAGUGGCGAAAGCGACUUCCUGGACCAAUACUGACGCUCAUGUGCGAAAGCGUGGGGAGCAAACAGG
rnacentral:rRNA from 1 species